ensembl:snoRNA SNORA70 Small nucleolar RNA SNORA70
CUGUGGUCAAUGAAGACUAGGAGGCUCCUUUCCUCAUGGGGCCCAGUAUACAAAGGCUACAAAAUAAUAGCUACCUUGGUAGUAUAUGCAGCUUGUUGCUUGUAUGGAUUUCCCUAAAAGACCUUGAAGACUGAA